ACCAGAAAAGCAAGAUCUAGAUUUAAAAUCAAAUUUGAUCAUGAUGCUGGAGGGCUUCAAGAAAGACAUGAAGAACUCUCUUAGAGAAACGCAGGAAAGCAUAAAUAAACAAGUAGAAGCCUAUAGAGAGGAAUCACAAAAAUGCCUGAAAGAAUUCCAGGUAAACACAAUCAAACAGUUGAAGGAAUUAAAAAUGGAAAUAGAAGCAAUGAAGAAAGAACACAGGGAAACAACCCUGGAUAUAGAAAACCAAAGGAAGAAACAAGAAUCCGUAGAUACAAGCAUCACCAACAGAAUACAAGAGAUAGAAGAGAGAAUCUCAGGAGCAGAAGAUUCCGUAGAAAUCAUCGACAUGGAAAAUAUCAUCCUGAGUGAGGUAACCCAAUCACAGAAAAACACACAUGGUAUGCACUCAUUGAUAAGUGGCUAUUAGCCCAAAUGCUUGAAUUACCCUAGAUGCACAGAACACAUGAAACUCAAGACGGAUGAUCAAAAUGUGAAUGCUUCACUCCUUCUUUAAAAGGAGAACAAGAAUACCCUUGGCAGGGAAUAGGGAGGCAAAGAUUAAAACAGAGGCUGAAGGAACACCCAUUCUGAGCCUGCCCCACAUGUGGCCCAUACAUAUACAGCCACCCAAUUAGACAAGAUGGAUGAAGCAAAGAAGUGCAGGCUGUUAGGAACCGGAUGUAGAUCUCUCCUGAGAGACACAGCCAGAAUACAGCAAAUACAUAGGCGAAUGCCAGCAGCAAACCACUGAACUGAGAACAGGACCCCCAUUGAAGGAAUCAGAGAAAGGACUGGAGAGCUUGAAGGGGCUCGAGACCCCAUAUGAACAACAAUGCCAAGCAACCAGAGCUUCCAGGGACUAAGCCACUACCCAAAGUCUAUACAUGGACUGACCCUGGACUCUAACCUCAUAGGUAGCAAUGAAUAGCCUAGUAAGAGCACCAGUGGAAGGGGAAGCCCUUGGUCCUGCCAAGACUGAACCCCCAGUGAAAGUGAUUGUUGGGGGGAGGGCGUUAAUGGGGGGAGGAUGGGGAGGGGAACACCCAUAAAGAAGGGGAGAAGGAGAGGUUAGGGGGAUGUUCCGGGAAACCGGGAAAGGGAAUAACACUCGAAAUGUAAAUAAGAAAUACUCAAGUUAAUAGAAAGAGAGAAAGAAAGAAAGAAAGAAAGAAAGAAAGAAAGAAAGAGAGAGAAAGAGAGAAAGAAAGAAAGAAAGAGAGAAAGAAAGAGAGAAAGAAAGAAAGAGAGAGAGAGAAAGAAAGAAAGAAAGAAAGAAAGGAAGGAAGGAAGGAAAGAAAGAAAGAAAGAAAGAAAGAAAGAAAGAAAGAGAGAAAGAGAGAAAGAGAGAAAGGAAGAAAGAGAGAAAAAACAGGGAAAAAAGUUUACAUAGUAAAAAGAUUAGUUCUCUCCAAUUGAGCAUCAGUGGGUUUACAAAACAUGUUUAAGGGUAGACACAAUUCCCAAAACUAGGCAAACAAUGCAAAACAAAUUCAGUGGAACAUAGGAAUCCCUGUUUGCUUGCUUGCUUGCUUGUUUCACAAUUCUUAGGUUAAGGUUUUCUGGUUGGGGUUUUGUUUUUCCUUUAGUUUCUUUUUAACUUAUGGGACUUUUUCUUACAUACAUUCUUUGGGUCUGUGUUUGGGUAGGUGGUUGUUUUGCAUACGAAUGUGUGUGUCUCCACAUCUGUCUGUGUUUCUUAGGCUUUUUCUUAGCUAAUGUUUGUCCAUUUGUUUUGUCCCACUGAGAUGUUUUAAUUUUGUCUUACUUUUUUAUAAUCAUCUUAUUUCUUUUUUAGAUGGCUGCUUGUUUGGGGAAGAUAGAGAGAUAGGGAAUGGAUUUGAUUAAUGGGAAGGUUGGCAGGACCAUGGAUGAGCUGCGGGAUUUUGAACCACAAUCAAAACACAAUGUGUAAAAUAAUCUAUUUUUAAAUUGUGUAUUCAAACUAAUUUGAUCUCAACACUGUGCUUUAUCUAGGUUACAAAUUCACCCCUGGCCACUAUCUUAAAAAUAUGAAGAAUGACUCUCAAGGCCAAAGACAAGGGAUUUUAGAUGAACACUGUUCUAGGACUGGAGGUGAGACACUCAGGAAAGGAGGAAAGCAAGGCUGUCUGCCAGGAGCCAUUGCCAAGAUGUGGUGCACUGUGCUCAGUGGUGCUGCUCUAGGGCCUGUUAGGGCUUUCCUGACAAGACCAUGGCAGGUAUGUUGGUCAGCACAUCUGUCCACUCAGGAUUUGUUCAAGUCCAAGAAGAGCAGUACUUCUCUGAUCUCUUCAUAUGAAGAUGCUCUAAAGCCUGUCAGAGGGAACAAGAGUGCAAUCAACUAUGUACUGCCUCUAAGAAAGGCACAUUCUUCUAGGUGUCGGGUCUAGAGUUUCAGUCUCACCCUCACGUGUAUCUUCCAUAAUGCUGUGGUCAUUCCUGUGUAAAGGGUAGGAAAGAGGAUCAGAAAUCAGAGCCUGAGUUCCUAAACACUAUUUGCACUUCAGCCUUACAGCCAGGACAGAAUUUCUGGAUAAUCCCAACUUCUGAAUGAUGAAAAAGUAUAGAACUACUAUUUUAAGGUUUCUGCCUGUCACCUGCCUGACCAGUUUCUUUCUACUGGUCACAGCAAAAUCAGCUUUAAUAUCAAUAAAGCCCUUUUUGCUCAGUCUUCCUUUGCUCAGUGAUUUCUGCUAUAGCUUUCAAAGCACUGUUGUUGUUGUUGUUAUCAUUAAUCAUUCUGUUUCUUUACAUCUCAGAUGUUUUCCUACUUCCCAGUUACCCCUCCACAAACACUUCCUCCAACAUCUGCCCUCUCCUCAGUCCCCUUUCCCUCUGUGAGUGUACUACCCCACAAACCACCCUAUCAAACCCCAUUGCUCAAGCAUCUCCACAUGCUGGGGAAACAAAGUGCCACAGGACCAAGGGCCUCCCUUCCAUUGAUAUCCAAAAAGGCAAUCCUCUGCUACCUAUUUAUCUGGAGCCAUGGAUCCCUCCCAGUAUGCUCCUUGGCUGGUGGUCUAGUUCCUGGAAGCUCUGGAACUUCCUGCCAGCUGAUGUUCUUUCUAUAAGAUUGUAAUCCCCCCCAGCCCCUCCAGACCUUCUGCCAGCUCCCCACCACAGUUCAUAAACUCAGUCUGAUGGUUGACUCCAAGCAGCCACAUCUGCAUUGGUCAGUUGCUGACUGAACCUCCUGAGGAGCCACCAUACCAGGUUUCUGCUAACAAGCACCUCUUUUCAACAGCAACAGUGUUGGGGUUUAGUGUCUGCAGACAGGAUAAAUGCCCAAGUGUGGUAGUCCCAUAGUGGUCCUUCCUCCAUUCCGUGCUGUAGUUUUUGUCCCUCUCAUUCCUUUGUCUGCAGACAGGAUAAAUCCCAGGUAUGGUGGUCACGUGAUGGCCCUUCCCUCAAUUUGUGUUCUAUUUUUUAUCCCUGUCAUUCCUUUGGACAGGAACAUUUCUGGGUUAACAACAUUGAGAUGGGUGGGUAACUUUCAGUAUAUAACGGUCCAGUGCAAUCUGUGCUGAUAAUAUAAAGAUUAAUAGAUAGGUUAUUUUGUGUUGCAUAUAUUAUAUUUGGUGACUAUAUAAUAUGGGAUAGGUUCCUGUUUACAAAGAAAGUCAGUUAACUGGUGAGACCAUCUGCUCUGAGAUGUGAGUGUUCUCUGGACUUCCUAGAUACACCUGAUUCUUGAGAUCACCAGAUGAGAACAGGUGACUAAAGUAAGUUCAGCAGUACACUUAUGUGACCCCUUCACACUUGUUUAUAUUUGUCAUAGAAUGGUGUCCACAGCAGUCUGAAUAUGAUGGGACAUAUUCUUUAAUAAUUGUAUUAUCUAAAAUCAAAUUGUGUUUUAGGGUAGUAAGUGCAAGAAUGGGCCUGACAGUAGAAUGUGUACUAUGUGUAGGGAACAUACCCUUUUCCUAUUACUGUUUAUAUGUUUGUGCUACAUGGCUGAUUUCCAAGUGUGUUAAAGGUAUCUCACUUCUGAGGCUGGCAAGGAAUCUCAGUUAAUAAAGAUGCUUGGCAAUCAGUCUGGCGAGAGGAAUUUGAUCUUUUGAAACCAUGUAAAGGUGGAAGGUAAAACAAAUUCCAUAAAAUCAUCCUAUGAUUUUAAGCAUCUGUCAUGGACUAUUUACACCCUUGAACGUACUUUCCAACCACACACUAUGAACACCCAACUACAAGAGGAUAUAAGCACAGACACAGAUACAUAUAGAAAAGAACAAGCACAUGGAGAGAAAUAAAAUCAAGGCUUUCUGUUGAUGACUCCACAGUUAAGGGCCCCUGCAUCUAAUCUAGGUGACCUCUGUUCAGACUGACUCCCACAAGUUGUACUUUCACCUACACAUACACAAAACCCAUGCUGCAUAUGACCACCACACACAGACAAUGCUAUUGUACAGUGUAUAUACAUAAGUAAAUGGUUAACAAAUAUGUUCUAUUGCCAAAGGGAAGGAAAACAAAAUGAAGUCAAAAAAUGCUCCAUGACACAGGCCUAUCUGCUCACUGGUCAGCAGCAAAGGGGUUUUCCUGUCAUCAGAUGGCAUGAUCUUUCCCUUGAGAAAGUAGACCCUUUCUGUCUCUAGUCUCUGUAUAUAUUCCACAUGGGAAUACAGUACUGUUAAUAUGGACAAUAUAUGGAGCCAUGGCUCAGGGCAUUGACUUUUCUUGCAGAAGACCUGUGGUCAAUACCAGAAACACACAUACAAAUCACAGCCAUAUAUAAUGUCAUUUCCAAAGAAUACAUUGCCAUUUUCUAGCCUUGCAAGCACAGCAUAGUCAAGGACACUCACAUGGAAACAUGCAAACAACACAUACACAUCAAUAAUAAAAAUAAAUGUUUCAAAACGACCUGUAGGUUUUAUUCUGGGUAGUAACUUUCUUCUGCUGAGCCCUGUUGGGCAGUCCACCUCUACAUUAAGUCAAUCAAAGUCUCAACUUUAUAAUAAAUUCAAAAAAUGUUGGAGAUUUCUUCAAUUUCCUUUUCUUGUGGGGUCGUCUAAGAAACUUACCUUAUGUUUCCUAAAGUCCUGUGUCUAGGGUAUUUACUUUCAUUGUUUCUUUUUGUGAUUGACACAGGGGCCACUUCAUAGAAAAGACUGACAUGGAACUGGGUAUAAAAUUCAGACUGCCCCAAGCUUAUUCAUUGCCUUUUUCUGUCCCUCAGUUGGACAGAUACAGACAGGAUAGAGCAGAUUAAAAGUGGAUAAGGGCAUGUUUAUUAGGGAGCAGUUGUCAGGUGGGUUCAGAGAUCUCACAGGGGAAAAAGAGGGAAGUCACACUUCUAGGCUAAAGCAAGGCAGGGAAGAGGACUUACGGGUUUUGGGGUGGUGGUGACUUGUAAGGUAGGAGCUGGGAUUAUGUUUAAACAUGGUCAAAACCAGAAACCCUGUGUAAGUAUUCCUGGGUGGGCUGCUGGAAAAUAAAGAGACUAGACUUGAUGAUAUGUUGCUCUGGAGUUUGCUGCAACUGACAGGAAGUUGUCUCUGUGGGGUUGGGGGUUGGAAAGGAGUGCACAUGGUGUUUAGCAACUUGUGAAGGGAAUGAGCCUAAUACUAAUGAUCUUCCUCCCUCCUCUUCCUAAAUACUGGCAUUACAGAUGUGGGACACCAGGCUUAGUCCUUUAAAGUGUGCUAUAUUUUGUGCUGUGCCUUUCCCUACACAGAGUGGAACUAGAAUGGAGUUUGCGUGAGACUUAUCUUUUGAGACACAACACAAGUGACUAAUCACCCCAGAUAUAGAGCAAAGGACAGAACAAAGAAUAGAUAGAAACAAAUUCCACCAUGGUGAACAACGAGUUUUAUUGGGGUUAAUUACAGAAUUAUAGGGGAAAGGUUACUUACAGAAGUAGAAAUCAUUCAAAGACAGACUUAUCACAAAGCACACCAAAGCACAGGUGAGAUCUCACAAACGCUGGGACGUGCCAGCACACUGUACAGACUAUAGAAAUCACAAGUGUGGGAGUGUUCUGUGAGGUAGCUCAGUUAAUUGGAGCAUAUACAAGUGACUCCAUUAAUCUACACCUCUUCUGGUCAGUUCAGCUACGUUCUGUUUCUGCAAGGCAGCUGAUCUGAUCUGAGAGUCUUUAAAGCUUGCUUUGUCUGAAAAUCUUCUUUGAAGGCUUGCUUCAUUGGAAAAACUCUCAGCAACCAGUAUUGUUUACUCUUGAGAGGGUUGCCCUAUUGAAUCUGGUCAGUUCAGGGACUUUCUGAAGCUCAUUUUCUUGGUUACCUUCUGGCAUAGGAGCUUCCCUGUAGGGUGUAAGGGUUCAAACACCCAGGAAACAGCUGGAUAGCACUCUACCCCCAUCCUGGGGCUCUUAAAUUCUUUCCACCACCUCUUCCACAAUGGUCCCUGAACUUUAGAAGGGAGGGCACACUUAUCAACCUAGGGCUAAGAAUUAGGCCACUGUAUCAAAGCAAAAGUCCCUUGAUCUCAAGGGUUUCACUGGUGGUUGAGUUGAUGCUGACAACUUUGGCAAUCUAUGGCAUUAAAAACACACUUGUUUAGAAGGCAGUAUGAUAGGAACAUCAAAUCCAUCUAAUAAAAAAUCGAAGCUGUUGCCCAUUUUGACCCAUGACCAGCAAAUCUAAAGAUUUUUGUACAGACUUGCAUUACCAGAUAUAAUCCCCCGUGUUAUGGUGUGGGCCUUUAUUCCAAUCAGAAGACUUUUGGACCUAUUCUUCUUAACCUAGCCACUACAGAAUGAAAGGAACAUCCGGUUUGGCUUGUCACUAAUUUAAUCAGCAGUGUUCAUAGGUAAACAGGAAUGUUGUUGACAUAUCUGUACUAGGAACCUGAAUGGCACCCUCUGGGACUAUGUCUGCCUACCAGCAGGGUGGGAGUUUCCAGUUAAGUCCCAGCUUCAUUUCCUAUGUCCUAUACUCAAAGAAUUGUCUUCACCAAACAGUGUUUUCCUGUUUCUUCCGGCAUGUAACCAGCAUCAGUAGCAGCAGAAUGUAUGCUCUGUGGGUCCUCAAGUCUUUUCAUGGCCAACAACUCUCAGGUGGGUAGCCAAUCAAUUGCACUGGGUUUUCAUUUAGUCACCACAUGUCUUCUAGGAGUAUCAUUUUCUUUUAUUUAUUUCGUUCUUUAAUUGGAUUUUUUAUUUGCAUUUAAAAUGUAAUUCCCUUUCUCAUUUUCCCGGACAUAAGCCUCCAUCACAUCCCCCUCUCCUUCUUCUACUAGGGCCUUCAUACAAAUGAGUUACUUUCCUACUUUGUGGGGAGCAGGUGUAGCAGCAAUCCCAAGAUGGCGCCCGGGACUGCUGCCGAGUCUUACGACUAGCACCUGAAAGUAAGCCAUGCCCCAAUCGUGAGAGCUGCGUAGCCGCACCAUGACUAUAGAUCAGGCCAUGUGACGUGGACCUAUGAAUGGAGGUUACACAGACUGGACGGUUGAGGCGGUUGAGGGAGGUUAUAAGAGAGUGGGCUCGGGGGCUGGAUGGAGACAUUGUUGCUGCUUGCAGACAAAAAGGUUCCUGAAUAAACUGCUUUGAGAAGAACAUCGUGGUAUCACUCCUUUCCUGCUGGUCGGGGUUGGAAGUGACAAGUGGUGGCCCAUACGGGGAAAUUCGUUCAGAACUCAUCGCACUCAGGGUGGCUAGCUGGAUCAUCGGCAGCCGCUGUGGGUCCCAGAGAGGCUGACCAGAGCGGUCCAAGAUGAACAGAAGGAGGAUACUGUGGAUGUUCCUGUUGUUGCCGAUGCUUCCUGCAGUGAUGGCUGAAGACCUACGCUGAGGACUUUUAUCUGUAUUUCCCAAACCCCUGCCACUGCAUUUGGCACAAGUGUUUCCCCAGUUUUUCUCUUCUAAUGCUUCGUUACAAUUACCCUUUUUGCCAUGGGAUGGAGAAAUAGCGCCUGUCAAUGAUUCAUUGCAGCUUCAGCUGAAAUGGUAAUCAAUCAGCUGCAUGGUUUGACAUGCCUAUCAACAGUUCUACCAAAGCUAAUGCCACAUGGAUUCUAGGGGUGUCGCCUGCCAGUAUUUCUAAAGGCAAUGAUACCAUGCCUUCCCAACCUAGAUGGGCUCCCUUUUGCAAGGGUACCCGUGAGUCACUUCUGCCAUGGACUGGGUGUCAGGCUAGAAAGGCAACAUGGGCUGUAAAGAAGUAUUUUACCUUUUCUCCUUAUAUUAGCAAAGCCCAUAAUGGCUCAUUUUCAGGGUAUAAUUGGACCUAUCAGAAUCCUGCUCAGGCAGUAGCUAGUAAUCCUUUCAAUGUGUGGUUGUUAUGUGGAGUGAAUGGUAUUUACACAGAUAUCUCUCCUCUGAGCAUGUUAGAGGGAGGGGAUUGGGGUAAUGUAAACUUUCAUUGGAAUGGAUCUGUAGGGUUUGAAACCUGUUUCUCAACUUGCUUAUGGGCUUAAUGUUUCCUUUAAGGCUACACCUGUCUUAUGUGGCCUCCUUUUGUGUUUAUUGUACUGGUUCGGGAGCUUAGACAAUAUAUCAUCCAUCUCAACUCCACCUGUGUGGACGUAUCUUUAGCUCUAGGACUGGCUGAUUGGAUCACCACAGCUGCCUCUCAGCUAAAAGAAUGGGCAGGACUCACUGGACUCACCCUGUGCCUGAUUCAAAAGGCAUCCUGGCCUUUUGGUGCAUUUGCCGUAUGCGGUUUCAUCAACGCAGAACUCAAGCCUUAAUGAUUCAGGUUUUUGCAGCAGUGGAGACAGGACAGUCUCCUUAAGUGUGGCUUGGUAUGCUAGAGAAGUAGUCAAUGACGGGUAAGACUCCCUGGGCAUGUCACCAACCUAAGACAGGGAUCAAAUCUAAGCUGUUUGUCUCCCGAUGACGGGUAAGGGGUAUUGCUGCAGGGAGCAACCUAAGACAGGCAUUCUCUCUGCCAAAAAUAUAAAGAAGGGGGAGAUGUGGGGAGCGGGUGUAGCGGCAAUCCCAAGAUGGCACCUGGGACUGCUGCCGAGUCUUACGACUAGCACCUGAAAGUAAGCCAUGCCCCAUCGUGAGAGCUGCGUAGCCGCACCAUGACUAUAGAUCAGGCCAUGUGACGUGGACCUAUGAAUGGAGGUUACACAGACUGGACGGUUGAGGCGGUUGAGGGAGGUUAUAAGGGAGUGGACUCAGGGGCUGGAUGGAGACAUUGUUGCUGCUUGCAGACAAAAAGUUUCCUGAAUAAACUGCUUUGAGAAGAA